UUACACCAAAUGAUCAAGUUGGCUUGUGGGUCGUGGGUUCGUGUGCUCUUGGGGCUCGCCGAGUAAUUUUGGACCGUGGAUUGGCUUUUGAGAGUUGAAUCUUAUGGAAAUAUUCUAUUUUGGCAACAACUUGGGAAUCACUACAAGUAACUUGGGGAAUAUUCUAAGAAUAUUCUCUCGAAACCUACCUCCUCUACUAUAUAAAGAGGCAUUCGUCUCUCAUUAUUUCUCAAGCUGUCAAACAGAAAAUACUCUUAGUUCUAAAUUCUCGCAUCUAUUAUGUUUCUUAAAAGUAAGUUCUUAGUUUAGUAGUUUUUUAGAAUAUAUCGUAGAUUAAGUUUGUUUGAGCCUAUUAUUGUGUGCUCGGGUAUAAGUUUGUAAUCGGUUGUAUCUAGGAAUUCAUAAACCGUGAUUGUCCGAAAGCACUUAUGGUCGACGAUUUAUUGAAUUAAGAAAAAAGAUAUAAUAUCUUGUUUAUGUGAUUUACUUUUUGUCUUUAAAUACAGUUGUUGUAAUUCGUUGUUCAUACCGUUAUUUUAAUAAAAUUGGCAUCUUUUCUCAAUUUGGUUUUGCAUUCUUACAAUUUUAUUAUGGCCGAUUAAAUGAAUUAAGAUUGUAGAAGCGCAAAAACAAAGUUGAGAAGAAAAUACAAAUUUUAUUAAGAUAACGAUAACAUGAAUGAAUUACAACGACUGUAUCUAAAGACAUAAAAUAAAUCACGGAGGCAGGAUCUGCUAUCUUUUUCUUUAAUUUAUUAAAUCGGCUGUAACUACUUUCAGACAAUCAUGAUUUAUGAAUCCCAAGAUACAACCGACAAACUAAUACCCGAGCACAUGAGUAAUAGACUCACAAUGACUGGAUCUAAAGACAUAAAAUAAAUCACGGAGGUAAGAUCUGAUAUAUUUUUCUUUAAUUUAUUAAAUCGGCUGUAAAUACUUUGAGACAAUCAUGAUUUAUGAAUCCCAAGAUACAACCGACAAAUUAAUAUCCAAGCACAUGAGUAAUAGACUCAAGCAAACUUGAUCUACGAUAUAAUCUCGAAACUAUUAAACUAAGAACUUAUUUUUAAGAAGAAAGAGAGAGGCGAGAUUUUAGAACUGAUAGCGUUUUUUAUUUGAGAGCUUGAGAAAUAAUGAGAGUCAAGUGCUUCUUUAUAUAGUAGAAGGAGGUAGGUCUCGAGAGAAUAUUCUCCGAGUACUCCCCAAAUUACUUGGAGUGAACUCCAAGUUCUUGCCAAAACAUAGAAUAUUUUUGUAGGAUUUAACUCUCAAAAUUGGGCCUAUCCACGAUCCAAAAAUUACUCGGCAAGGCCCAAGAGCCCACAAGCCUAUGUGGCCCAAAAGUCGACGAUCUGAUGACCAUCCCUCGUGCCUAGCUUGGUUCGAUUUAGCCC
rnacentral:sRNA from 1 species